rnacentral:rRNA from 1 species
AGAGUUUGAUCCUGGCUCAGGACGAACGCUGGCGGCGUGCCUAAUACAUGCAAGUCGAGCGAGCGGAACUAACAGAUUUACUUCGGUAAUGACGUUAGGAAAGCGAGCGGCGGAUGGGUGAGUAACACGUGGGGAACCUGCCCCAUAGUCUGGGAUACCACUUGGAAACAGGUGCUAAUACCGGAUAAGAAAGCAGAUCGCAUGAUCAGCUUUUGAAAGGCGGCGUAAGCUGUCGCUAUGGGAUGGCCCCGCGGUGCAUUAGCUAGUUGGUAAGGUAAAGGCUUACCAAGGCGAUGAUGCAUAGCCGAGUUGAGAGACUGAUCGGCCACAUUGGGACUGAGACACGGCCCAAACUCCUACGGGAGGCAGCAGUAGGGAAUCUUCCACAAUGGACGCAAGUCUGAUGGAGCAACGCCGCGUGAGUGAAGAAGGUUUUCGGAUCGUAAAGCUCUGUUGUUGGUGAAGAAGGAUAGAGGUAGUAACUGGCCUUUAUUUGACGGUAAUCAACCAGAAAGUCACGGCUAACUACGUGCCAGCAGCCGCGGUAAUACGUAGGUGGCAAGCGUUGUCCGGAUUUAUUGGGCGUAAAGCGAGCGCAGGCGGAAGAAUAAGUCUGAUGUGAAAGCCCUCGGCUUAACCGAGGAACUGCAUCGGAAACUGUUUUUCUUGAGUGCAGAAGAGGAGAGUGGAACUCCAUGUGUAGCGGUGGAAUGCGUAGAUAUAUGGAAGAACACCAGUGGCGAAGGCGGCUCUCUGGUCUGCAACUGACGCUGAGGCUCGAAAGCAUGGGUAGCGAACAGGAUUAGAUACCCUGGUAGUCCAUGCCGUAAACGAUGAGUGCUAAGUGUUGGGAGGUUUCCGCCUCUCAGUGCUGCAGCUAACGCAUUAAGCACUCCGCCUGGGGAGUACGACCGCAAGGUUGAAACUCAAAGGAAUUGACGGGGGCCCGCACAAGCGGUGGAGCAUGUGGUUUAAUUCGAAGCAACGCGAAGAACCUUACCAGGUCUUGACAUCUAGUGCCAUUUGUAGAGAUACAAAGUUCCCUUCGGGGACGCUAAGACAGGUGGUGCAUGGCUGUCGUCAGCUCGUGUCGUGAGAUGUUGGGUUAAGUCCCGCAACGAGCGCAACCCUUGUUAUUAGUUGCCAGCAUUAAGUUGGGCACUCUAAUGAGACUGCCGGUGACAAACCGGAGGAAGGUGGGGAUGACGUCAAGUCAUCAUGCCCCUUAUGACCUGGGCUACACACGUGCUACAAUGGGCAGUACAACGAGAAGCGAGCCUGCGAAGGCAAGCGAAUCUCUGAAAGCUGUUCUCAGUUCGGACUGCAGUCUGCAACUCGACUGCACGAGGCUGGAAUCGCUAGUAAUCGCGGAUCAGCACGCCGCGGUGAAUACGUUCCCGGGCCUUGUACACACCGCCCGUCACACCAUGGGAGUCUGCAAUGCCCAAAGCCGGUGGCCUAACCUUCGGGAAGGAGCCGUCUAAGGCAGGGCAGAUGACUGGGGUGAAGUCGUAACAAGGUAACCGUA